GCGCCCCAAUAUGAGCAGCGAGGGCCGUGAGGUCACAGAGUCCGUUGCUGGGUGACCUCAGCGCCCAUUGCUGGGUGUUGUCACAGCGCAUCGCUGGGCUCACCGGGGUCCCGUGUCACCUGCCCGGUGUCUGCAGGGCGCUGGGGUGGCCCGGGCCUGGUCAGCCGCAGGCUUUGUGCCCGCUGGGCUUUGGGAAGAGGGAGGUGCCCAGGCCGUUCCCUCCAAAAUGGCCUCCUGGUCCAGGACAGGCGGGACAGCCAGAAGGGGGAAUGGUUUUAAACUAAAGGAGGGGAGAUUUAUAUUAGAGGUUAGGAGGAAAUUCACCCAGAGGGUGGUGAGGCACUGGCACUGAUUAUGCAGAGAGGUUGUGAAUCCCUGGCAGUGCCCAAGACCAGGUUGAACGAGGCCCUGGGCAACCUGAUUUAGUGGGUGGCAUCCCUGCCCAUGACUGGAUGAUCUUUAACUAGAUGAUCUUUAAGGUCCCUUCCAACUUGAGCCAUUCUGUGAUUAUAAAUCAUUCUCAGUAAUGUUUCCCAGCACAAAGACAUAAAACCAUACAACAUCUGAGAAGACAGGUGGAAGUGAACAAUGUCUGUGCCACAAACGGGACAAGCAGGAGGAGAGAAGCUGACUUUUGCCUGCCCUGGCAACUAGUGAGGGGGAGAAUGGAACAUCAGUGUGCAUAUGAUUACUAGCUUCUCUGAACUGUUUUUCUGUUUAAUUGGAAUCCACUAAUUGAGGCAAGGCUGUUGAUGGCUGUUGCCAGGUAAACUCACAAAAGAUAUUUUAUUUAACCAUAGAUAUAUAACAAGGGAGAAAGCCUGAUCUUCAGAUUCACCACCUGCUCCCAUUGGUGCAUGACACCACAUCCGUUUGUCCCCAGACAAGAGGUGUGUGGACUUCCCCUGGCCAUCACCUACAGAGUAUUACAACUGAUGCCUGUAGGAAUCUGAAUAUUUUCUAUUUUCUCCCCCUGAUGGACAAACUCACUGAGGUUGCAGGGGCUGGUGGGACGGCUCCAUCCCCGCGUCCUCCCGUGUCGGGUGACUCAUCAGCAAGUCUGAGAAUGUGCAGCAGGCUGCGGACCCCAGCAGGAAAACACAGCAAGCAGCUCGGGAG
rnacentral:lncRNA from 1 species